UACGAAGGAGGCUAGCGUUGCUCGGAAUCACUGGGCGUAAAGGGUGCGUAGGCGGGUCUUUAAGUCAGGGGUGAAAUCCUGGAGCUCAACUCCAGAACUGCCUUUGAUACUGAGGAUCUUGAGUUCGGGAGAGGUGAGUGGAACUGCGAGUGUAGAGGUGAAAUUCGUAGAUAUUCGCAAGAACACCAGUGGCGAAGACGGCUCACUGGCCCGAUACUGACGCUGAGGCACGAAAGCGUGGGAGCAAACAGG
rnacentral:rRNA from 1 species